rnacentral:lncRNA from 1 species
GAUGGCCACGAAUGGUUCUAGGGUUGAUUGGGACUUAGUAUUCCUACUGAAAAAGUAUUUUUGAGAUUUUGGAGCCUAUAUGCUCUGAUUGACGAGUCAUUUGUUGCGUUGGAGAGUUGGUAACAUUUUGGAGGUGUAGAAAGACUUCAAGAGAGGUUUCAGAGAGCUUUUGUGAGGAUUUUGAAAAUUCUUGUGGAGAGACUCUUGUACAAGGA